rnacentral:rRNA from 1 species
CAGUCGCCACGGUAAUACGAGGGGGGCAAGCGUUGUUCGGAAUUAUUGGGCGUAAAGGGCGCGUAGGCGGUUUGGCAAGUUUGGUGUGAAAUCUUCGGGCUCAACUCGAAGUCUGCACCGAAAACUGCCGGGCUUGAGUAUGGGAGAGGUGAGUGGAAUUUCCGGUGUAGCGGUGAAAUGCGUAGAUAUCGGAAGGAACACCUGUGGCGAAAGCGGCUCACUGGACCAUUACUGACGCUGAGGCGCGAAAGCUAGGGGAGCAAACAGGAUUAGAUACCCGAGUAGUCCCUGUCUCUUAUAC